AUGCUUGAUUUGGCAGCACAUAUACUAAAAUUGGAAUGAUACAGAGAAUAUUAGCAUGGCCCCUGUGCAAGGAUGACACUCAAAUUUGUGAAGAAUUCUCCUCUUCA
ensembl:snRNA U6 U6 spliceosomal RNA